CACGACACCGAGAUUUGUUAACGAGGUUCACCGAUAUGGCUACAUCCCCGAGGCUUGACUACGGGCGCUCCUCCCCGUGACACCGUCACAAUACCGCACCCGGUCACCCUGGACACCGGCACAUGCCGCCGGCUUCCCCUGCGUUCCGGUGUUAUUAUGUUGGCAUAGGUUACAUCGUGUGUCUACCCCGCUAUAUAUGAAAGGCCUAGGAUACAAGUGUCCUACUAGGACACGACUCCACAUCCUAUGUAAACACGAUACAACUACAAGUCCAACUGUAACCUAUCUUGUACACUAUAUUCGACACAACUCUAACAAACUCCACCUUGGCGAAUAUUCUCCACCACCAUGAAUUCGUCAAUGCGUCAAACUUCCAUGUACAUUGGACUUGAGCUUAUCCCGUGAGCACCGCUGCUACUCCAAAGACUCCAUAUGACUCCACCUGUAACUUGUAGUCUCUCCUUUUCUUGACCACAGUCAACACUCGAGCAAAAUUAAGUUCCUUGUUUCUUUAGUUUGUGCUCCCAACUUCCAGAGUAUCCGUCCAACACCAUCAUACACCGAUCACUGACCUGCGUGAAAGUGAACAACUCACAUAUUGGAUGCCACACAUAAGAGUUACCUGAACUCAACAUAACCGCUCCUUUCUUGACCGUCUGUCUGAAACUUGAAGGAAUUUCACCAUUGCUUGUAGUCAUCCCGAGUCAAAUUCGCAGUUGUCUCACCACAUGUAUGACCACCAGAGCCCUGGCCCGUCUCCAUGUCCCGUGCGUACCGCACGCCUCGCUGCUAUUACCGCGUCGAGCCUCCGCUGUCCCGGUCGAGUCUCAAGGGUCGUGAACCCACACCACUCAACCCCCACUGCAGAGUACCAUCGAUCAUCACCGACCGAUGACGAGUUUCACGUUUGCAUCAGACCACUGGGCUCCAGUCUGAACUACGUGUCCCUCGCUUUUUUUUCGCCUGCUGAAUAGGCUUCGACCCCGUCGACUUACGCCGUAGCCCCUCAAUCCAGCUCCACCUUCAACAUGACUCCAUGGUAGAUGAUCAAUCCACCCCUGCGCCUCAUAGACUUCAAGCUCCAUGUAUACACCACCUUGAAUCAAUCCCGCGCCAUAGUCUUGUCGAAGCCGCACAAGUCUCGGACAUGUGCACCAUGUGUUUCCAUGCCCAGAAGUCGGUCACCAUCAGCAUCACGCUCCUACGUCGUCUUCGCCGAUUCCACCACCGUCUUCUGUACCAACCGACUCACAUCGAUCCGUCAGACUGCCUAAGUCCGACCCAGCCGAACUAUUCCGGCUGUACGACACACUCGAGGCUCCCAAAUCAUCUUCUGCGAAUCUCCAUCCAUCACUUGAUAAUUCCAUCUUAGCUGACACGACUUCCCGCAACGCCAUCAAGCAUUCCCAUUGUGCCAACAAAUCUUUCAUCCGUGUCUACCAUAACCCAAGAUUUUUAGUUCCAUGAACUUCUCCGCCUCAAACGUGGUACCGUGGGCGCCACAGUUCUUUAUAUGGUUGGCCCUGCGAAAAAUUAUCCGAGCUUUCCUCACGUGAUGCCCAAGUACACAAGCAAAACCUGACGUGGUACACCCUCGUGCACUAAUAGCAAAUUCCAACCAAAGAACACUUUUGAUCUUCACGUGUAGUAGCUCUAGCUCAACUCCUGAUGCUGUUGUUGCUUUGUCAAUGUCCCAGCUAGUAUGUAUCGCUCGAUGGAUUUCCUCUUUCCGCAUAUUGAUUUGCCUGCCUAUCUCCGUGUCGCAUGGAGAGUCGGUCUCCUUUUUGUCCAAACAAAUCCACGGUGUUUCUUCUGUAUGCACACGCCACGAGUCCUCCACGUAUGCUUCAGCCUGCUCUUGAGCGACACCUAUGCGAGACGCGCCUCUGGCCAGCUUCGGGCUUUGCACCCUGCUGCAGCCACAUGAGCCGCACCGCCGUGGGCCUCGCCUAGGCUUCGCCAGACGCCAGCGAUCCCACCCGCACGUACACGCGCUGCCGAUGCUCGCCCGAUCGAUCCACCGAUCGAUCGCCGCACAUCCCGUGCGCGCACGCGUGCCGCUGCACGCGCAUACGAGAUUAAUCUGACGCAACCCGUCGCCGCCGACGCAUCCACCACGCAACUGCUUCUUCAUCCUAUAGAUCAACCCCCCUCACGCCUAGCUCAUGAUACCACUUGUUAAAAUAAAUUUAAGGCAUACCGUCGAUCAUCCGAGGACCAAGCAAUCACACGAGGCACGACACCGAGAUUUGUUAACGAGGUUCACCGAUAUGGCUACAUCCCCGGGGCUUGACUACGGGCGCUCCUUCCCGUGACACUGUCACAAUACCGCACUCGGUCGCCCUGGACACCGGCACAUGCCGCCGGCUUCCCCUGCGUUCCGGUGUUAUUAUGUUGGCAUAGGUUACAUCGUGUGUCUACCCCGCUAUAUAUGAGAG
rnacentral:lncRNA from 1 species